rnacentral:tRNA from 1 species
GCUGAAGUAGCUCAACGGUAGAGCAGCUGACUUGUAAUCAGCAGGUUGUGGGUUCAAAUCCCACCUUCAGCUCAA